rnacentral:rRNA from 1 species
UGGUGAAUAUUGGACAAUGGGCGAAAGCCUGAUCCAGCCAUGCCGCGUGUGUGAAGAAGGUCUUCGGAUUGUAAAGCAUUUUUAGUCGGGAGGAAGGGCAGUAAGCGAAUACCUUGCUGUUUUGACGUUACCGACAGAAUAAGCACCGGCUAACUCUGUGCCAGCAGCCGCGGUAAUACAGAGGGUGCAAGCGUUAAUCGGAAUUACUGUGCGUAAAGCGUGCGUAGGUGGUUCGUUAAGUUGAAUGUGAAAGCCCCGGGCUCAACCUAGGAACUGCAUCCAAAACUGGCGAGCUAGAGUAGGGCAGAGGGUGGUGGAAUUUCCUGUGUAGCGGUGAAAUGCGUAGAUAUAGGAAGGAACACCAGUGGCGAAGGCGACCACCUGGGCUCAUACUGACACUGAGGUGCGAAAGCGUGGGGAGCAAACAGG